rnacentral:rRNA from 1 species
GGUUAAGAGCUAAUUAACUGGACGUUACCUACAGAAGAAGCACCGGCUAACUCCGUGCCAGCAGCCGCGGUAAUACGGAGGGUGCGAGCGUUAAUCGGAAUUACUGGGCGUAAAGGGUGCGUAGGUGGUUUGAUAAGUUAGUUGUGAAAUUCCUGGGCUCAACCUAGGCACUGCAACUAAUACUGUUGAACUCGAGUAUGGGAGAGGGCAGUGGAAUUUCCGGUGUAGCGGUGAAAUGCGUAGAGAUCGGAAGGAACACCAGUGGCGAAGGCGGCUGCCUGGCCUAAUACUGACACUGAGGCACGAAAGCGUGGGGAGCAAACAGGAUUAGAUACCCCUGGUAGUCCACGCCGUAAACGAUGUCAACUAGCCGUUGGUUAUAUGAAUAUAAUUAGUGGCGCAGCAAACGCGAUAAGUUGACAUCGU